rnacentral:rRNA from 1 species
UGGGGAAUUUUGGACAAUGGGCGAAAGCCUGAUCCAGCAAUGCCGCGUGUGUGAAGAAGGCCUUCGGGUUGUAAAGCACUUUUGUCCGGAAAGAAAUCCUUGGCUCUAAUACAGUCGGGGGAUGACGGUACCGGAAGAAUAAGCACCGGCUAACUACGUGCCAGCAGCCGCGGUAAUACGUAGGGUACAAGCGUUAAUCGGAAUUACUGGGCGUAAAGCGUGCGCAGGCGGUUUGCUAAGACCGAUGUGAAAUCCCCGGGCUCAACCUGGGAACUGCAUUGGUGACUGGCAGGCUAGAGUAUGGCAGAGGGGGGUAGAAUUCCACGUGUAGCAGUGAAAUGCGUAGAGAUGUGGAGGAAUACCGAUGGCGAAGGCAGCCCCCUGGGCCAAUACUGACGCUCAUGCACGAAAGCGUGGGGAGCAAACAGGAUUAGAUACCCUGGUAGUCCACGCCCUAAACGAUGUCAACUAGUUGUUGGGAUUCAUUCCUUAGUAACGUAGCUAACGCGUGAAGUUGACCGCCUGGGGAGUACGGUCGCAAGAUUAAAACUCAAAGGAAUUGACGGGGUCAUAGCUGUUUCCU